rnacentral:rRNA from 1 species
GAUGAACGCUGGCGGCGUGCCUAAUACAUGCAAGUCGAGCGAACGGACGAGAAGCUUGCUUCUCUGAUGUUAGCGGCGGACGGGUGAGUAACACGUGGAUAACCUACCUAUAAGACUGGGAUAACUUCGGGAAACCGGAUCUAAUACCGGAUAAUAUUUUGAACCGCAUGGUUCAAAAGUGAAAGACGGUCUUGCUGUCACUUAUAGAUGGAUCCGCGCUGCAUUAGCUAGUUGGUAAGGUAACGGCUUACCAAGGCAACGAUGCAUAGCCGACCUGAGAGGGUGAUCGGCCACACUGGAACUGAGACACGGUCCAGACUCCUACGGGAGGCAGCAGUAGGGAAUCUUCCGCAAUGGGCGAAAGCCUGACGGAGCAGCGCCGCGUGAGUGAUGAAGGUCUUCGGAUCGUAAAACUCUGUUAUUAGGGAAGAACAUAUGUGUAAGUAACUGUGCACAUCUUGACGGUACCUAAUCAGAAAGCCACGGCUAACUACGUG